UCCUUUUGGGAGGAACAGUGAGGAGGACAGUAGUGGGGAAGUGCACGGGGCUGCUCAGCCCACAGCUGUCUGGUCUGCUGGGCUUUAUUUGAUUUAAGCAGGCUUGAGAUCAAAUCAAUUAUUUCCAGAAGCUUUUGUCUUUAAGUACCUUAAUGAUGCAGCCUCUUGCAGCUGGUUACUUACUACCUACUUGUACAUGGAACAGAACCUUUUUUCCUUCUUCAGUGCAUUGUCUGCAAAAGCUGAAGCUGACUUUGCGCCCUGACUUUGGAAAGGUCAAAAAUGGCUUUGGGUAGAGAGUGAGGUUUGGACUGCCUGACCCAGCUGGGGAUGGGGAAGGGGAAGCACCUGGAGCUGCUUCCUGCAGCAUCGAUCUGCUUAAAGGACAUGCUCAAUCUAUUGGUGACGCAGUGGGACUUCUGCCCAUCAGAACAGCCCACCAUUGCUUCACCAUCUCUGUCUGCCCUCUUCCGACUUGUCGACAUCAUGCAGGGGUGAACCAGACCACGGAAUGCCUGUGUCAGAGCAGCUUUGGUGUUGGGGGCUGUGCUGCAGGAGGGCAGGGCUCCUGCAAUCCAAACGACUGCUCUCCAGAUAAUAGAUUUCACUUUUGAACUGAUCUCACAUCUCUGAUCUUCUGGAGCCUCUGUGCCUGCACUGAUGUCCUCCUUAUGUCAGCCACCCAUUUAUCCAGAGCCACCGAGUACUUCUGCAGUAGCACACAGAGCAUGUGAGGGGCAGAGGGGCUCUGCUGCCCUCCCACAGAUCUCACUGGGGUUCGUUGGGGUUGGCAGCACCUUUCAGGCAGGGUUGUGAAUCACUGGGAAUAGGACAGUCUGGCUGUUCCUUUAGCUUUGCAGCCAUCAGCUUUCCCUGACUCUGCUCUGGGUUUGGUGGCCAUCCAUUGGCCGGGACCUUACUCAGUGCCAUGGACAGCAUCCCACAUCCCUCUUCCUUCUGUAUCUUUAAGGACCUGCACUGAAUUAGGGGAGGAUCUGAGGCCUCUGCUGCAAAUGAUGCAUCUGGGAAAGGGAGUUACUGACAGGCAGGAAGCACGGGUGAGGUUAGCACCACUGUUAGAGUGACGACUGAGCUCUGUUCCUGGUCAGAGACCAGGGUGGGAACAUCUUGCAAAGGCAGCCCCGGGUUUUCCCAGCUGCUCUGUGCAGAAACAGGUCUGAACACAGUGGGCUCAGUGCCCUGGGUGCCCUGCCAGCUGUGCUGGAGUCAGGCAGUGGGAUCAGACAGGAAGGAGGAAAAGAUCCCAUAGGAUGCCAGUGCGUGAGGUGAGCAGCAAGCAGCCAUCAGGAUGGGAAAACAGGCUGCUCUUGCAUGCUGGCUGCUCUGAAAAUGUCAGUGUGUGCAAGGAAAUGCCAUUGCAGCAGAGAUGUUGGAGAGCAGUUUGCUGAGAGGGAGAGGAAGGUGAAAGGGCAGAAAGCGAACCUGCCACAGGGUGAGCAGCAGGGCUGCCCUGUCCCAGCAUCCUCCUGCAGUGUGUGAAGGUGGACGGUCUGUAGGAGAAUGCUGGGAGUCAGGCCAGAAUGAGCGAUGUCACAGAAUUAUUAGGUUGGAAAAGACCACUGACAUCAUCUAGUCCAACUGUGUCCUGGGGAUGCUGCUGGAGCUGGGGAUGGGCAGUGCAGAGGGGUGAUGUGCACGGCCCGAUGCCCGUUGUGCC
ensembl:lncRNA